rnacentral:rRNA from 1 species
AGGUAACGUCAAGGCAACGGGUAUUAUUCCGUUACUGUUUCCUCCCUACUGAAAGUGCUUUACAACCCGCAGGCCUUCUUCACACACGCGGCAUUGCUGCAUCAGGCUUUCGCCCAUUGCGCAAUAUUCCCCA